rnacentral:rRNA from 1 species
CCCUUAGAUGUUCUGGGCCGCACGCGCGCUACACUGAUGCAUUCAACGAGUCUAAAACCUGCUCUGAUAGGGGUGGGUAAUCUUUUGAAUGUGCAUCGUGAUUGGGAUAGAUGAUUGCAAUUUUUCAUCUUCAACGAGGAAUGCCUAGUAAACGCAAGUCAUCAGCUUGCAUUGAUUACGUCCCUGCCCUUUGUACACACCGCCCGUCGCUCCUACCGAUUGAAUGAUCCGAUGAAUAUCAUGGAUUGAGGAUGCAAGCAGGUUCGCCUGUCUUCAUCUUCGAGAAGUGAAGUAAAUCUUAUCAUUUAAAGGAAGGAGAAGUCGUAACA